CUACGGGGUGCUGCAGUGGGGAAUAUUGCACAAUGGACGAAAGUCUGAUGCAGCAACGCCGCGUGGAGGAUGACACAUUUCGGUGCGUAAACUCCUUUUAUAUCCCAAGAUAAUGACGGUAGGAUAUGAAUAAGCGCCGGCUAACUCCGUGCCAGCAGCCGCGGUAAUACGGAGGGCGCAAGCGUUACUCGGAAUCACUGGGCGUAAAGAGCGUGUAGGCGGAUAGAUAAGUUGGGAGUGAAAUCCUAUGGCUUAACCAUAGAAUUGCUUCCAAAACUGUCUAUCUAGAAUAUGGGAGAGGUAGAUGGAAUUUCUGGUGUAGGGGUAAAAUCCGUAGAGAUCAGAAGGAAUACCGAUUGCGAAGGCGAUCUACUGGAACAUUAUUGACGCUGAGGCGCGAAAGCGUGGGGAGCAAACAGGAUUAGAUACCCGGGUAGUC
rnacentral:rRNA from 1 species